rnacentral:rRNA from 1 species
GUCCACGCCGUAAACGAUGAUUACUCGGUGCUAGCGAUAUACUGUUAGUGCCUAAGCGAAAGCGAUAAGUAAUCCACCUGGGGAGUACGGUCGCAAGAUUGAAACUCAAAGGAAUUGACGGGGGCCCGCACAAGCGGUGGAGCAUGUGGUUUAAUUCGAUGAUACGCGAGGAACCUUACCUGGGCUUGAAUGUAGAUUGACAGGCUGGGAAACCAGUCCUCCUUCGGGCAAUCUACAAGGUGCUGCAUGGUUGUCGU